AAAACUACUUUGAUGAUUGACAAAUACUCGUUCUGGAGAGAGAUUUUUCUCUCACAUACUUCUCCCGACUCGACCGGUAUAGAUCCUUUUGUUUUCAGGUCUACUAUGUUAAUGAAAAACCAUGAAUCCUGAGAAUAUUCCGUCUUAUGAACUCAUACCACUCAUGAGUUCGCCAUCUCACAAGAACGAGGUUUUCUUUUAACUACCUAUCUUUAUCUUUAACUCAACCAACGCCGGAGCCAUCAAUUCAGAGCAGACUUUCGCCAAGAUCCUAACUUAUGUCCUACCAAUAACUCAUUCAUUCCUUGAUGCCUAUCCUUGUUGGAGCCUUAUUUUACAUUUUGAAGAUAGUUUGAAGAAUAAACAUUUUUGUACCUAUCUCUAGGGGAAAUUUACUCAAUUCUGAUAUGUAUUUAUAUAUUAAACUGGGACAUUAUCUAUAAUAUACAUUCUACUGCUGAA
rnacentral:lncRNA from 1 species